rnacentral:rRNA from 1 species
AUUGAACGCUGGCGGCAGGCCUAACACAUGCAAGUCGAACGGUAAUAGGAAGCAGCUUGCUGCUUUGCUGACGAGUGGCGGACGGGUGAGUAAUGUCUGGGAAACUGCCCGAUGGAGGGGGAUAACUACUGGAAACGGUAGCUAAUACCGCAUAACGUCGCAAGACCAAAGAGGGGGACCUUAGGGCCUCUUGCCAUCGGAUGUGCCCAGAUGGGAUUAGCUAGUAGGUGGGGUAACGGCUCACCUAGGCGACGAUCCCUAGCUGGUCUGAGAGGAUGACCAGCCACACUGGAACUGAGACACGGUCCAGACUCCUACGGGAGGCAGCAGUGGGGAAUAUUGCACAAUGGGCGCAAGCCUGAUGCAGCCAUGCCGCGUGUAUGAAGAAGGCCUUCGGGUUGUAAAGUACUUUCAGCGGGGAGGAAGGGAGUAAAGUUAAUACCUUGGCUCAUUGACGUUACCCGCAGAAGAAGCACCGGCUAACUCCGUG